rnacentral:rRNA from 1 species
UACGGGGGGGGCAAGCGUUGUUCGGAAUUACUGGGCGUAAAGGGCGCGUAGGCGGCCUGCUAAGUCGGACGUGAAAUCCCUCGGCUCAACCGGGGAACUGCGUCCGAUACUGGUGGGCUCGAAUCCGGGAGAGGGAUGUGGAAUUCCAGGUGUAGCGGUGAAAUGCGCAGAUAUCAGGAGGAACACCAAUUGCGAAGGCAGCUCGCUGGGACGUUACUGACGCUGAGACGCGAAAGCGUGGGGAGCAAACAGG